rnacentral:rRNA from 1 species
UGCAGUCGAACGGCAGCACAGUAAGAGCUUGCUCUUAUGGGUGGCGAGUGGCGGACGGGUGAGGAAUACAUCGGAAUCUACCUUUUCGUGGGGGAUAACGUAGGGAAACUUACGCUAAUACCGCAUACGACCUUCGGGUGAAAGCAGGGGACCUUCGGGCCUUGCGCGGAUAGAUGAGCCGAUGUCGGAUUAGCUAGUUGGCGGGGUAAAGGCCCACCAAGGCGACGAUCCGUAGCUGGUCUGAGAGGAUGAUCAGCCACACUGGAACUGAGACACGGUCCAGACUCCUACGGGAGGCAGCAGUGGGGAAUAUUGGACAAUGGGCGCAAGCCUGAUCCAGCCAUACCGCGUGGGUGAAGAAGGCCUUCGGGUUGUAAAGCCCUUUUGUUGGGAAAGAAAAGCAGUCGAUUAAUACUCGGUUGUUCUGACGGUACCCAAAGAAUAAGCACCGGCUAACUUCGUGCCAGCAGCCGCGGUAAUACGAAGGGUGCAAGCGUUACUCGGAAUUACUGGGCGUAAAGCGUGCGUAGGUGGUUGUUUAAGUCUGUUGUGAAAGCCCUGGGCUCAACCUGGGAAUUGCAGUGGAUACUGGGCGACUAGAGUGUGGUAGAGGGUAGUGGAAUUCCCGGUGUAGCAGUGAAAUGCGUAGAGAUCGGGAGGAACAUCCAUGGCGAAGGCAGCUACCUGGACCAACACUGACACUGAGGCACGAAAGCGU